rnacentral:rRNA from 1 species
GACGAACGCUGGCGGCGUGCUUAACACAUGCAAGUCGAACGGAAAGGCCCUGCUUUUGUGGGGUGCUCGAGUUGCGAACGGGUGAGUAACACGUGAGUAACCUGCCCUUGACUUUGGGAUAACUUCAGGAAACUGGGGCUAAUACCGGAUAGGAGCUCCUGCUGCAUGGUGGGGGUUGGAAAGUUUCGGCGGUUGGGGAUGGACUCGCGGCUUAUCAGCUUGAUGGUGGGGUAGUGGCUUACCAAGGCUUUGACGGGUAGCCGGCCUGAGAGGGGGACCGGCCACAUUGGGACUGAGAUGAGACCCAGACUCCUACGGGAGGCAGGAGUGGGGAAGAUUACACAAGGGGCGGAAGCCUGAUGCAGCAACGCCGCGUGCGGGAUGACGGCCUUCGGGUUGUAAACCGCUUUCGCCUGUGACGAAGCGUGAGUGACGGUAAUGGGUAAAGAAGCACCGGCUAACUCCGUG